rnacentral:rRNA from 1 species
ACGAACGCUGGCGGCGUGCUUAACACCUGCAAGUCGAACGGAAAGGCCCUGCUUUUGUGGGGUGCUCGAGUGGCGAACGGGUGAGUAACACGUGAGUAACCUGCCCUUGACUUUGGGAUAACUUCAGGAAACUGGGGCUAUUACCGGAUAGGAGCUCCUGCUGCAUGGUGGGGGUUGGAAAGUUUCGGCGGUUGGGGAUGGACUCGCGGCUUAUCAGCUUGUUGGUGGGGUAGUGGCUUACCAAGGCUUUGACGGGUAGCCGGCCUGAGAGGGUGACCGGCCACAUUGGGACUGAGAUACGGCCCAGACUCCUACGGGAGGCAGCAGUGGGGAAUAUUGCACAAUGGGCGGAAGCCUGAUGCAGCAACGCCGCGUGCGGGAUGACGGCCUUCGGGUUGUAAACCGCUUUCGCCUGUGACGAAGCGUGAGUGACGGUAAUGGGUAAAGAAGCACCGGCUAACUACGUG